rnacentral:rRNA from 1 species
GGGUGAGUAACGCGUAGGUAACCUACCUCAUAGCGGGGGAUAACUAUUGGAAACGAUAGCUAAUACCGCAUAAGAGAGACUAACGCAUGUUAGUAAUUUAAAAGGGGCAAUUGCUCCACUAUGAGAUGGACCUGCGUUGUAUUAGCUAGUUGGUGAGGUAAAGGCUCACCAAGGCGACGAUACAUAGCCGACCUGGGAGGGUGAUCGGCCACACUGGGACUGAGACACGGCCCAG